rnacentral:lncRNA from 1 species
GAUGUGCUAUUAUAUAAAAAGGGUACAUCUCAUUAUCCACUGGACAAUAAGAGGUGCCCAAUUUCAUUAUAAAUAGGAGUGAUGGAAAGACAUUUUCACACACACAUUUUUAUUCUUCCUCUCUCUCAAAAAAUUCACACAUAUUUUUCACCUUUUUCUCCCCUUUCUUAAACACAAAAUUUGUUCAUCUAUUUCUUUUUCUCAAAAAUACAUACAUAUACUCAAAAUAAAUACUUUGGCCAAUGAAAUUAUCUCUCCGUCUGAAUAUUUGAGGUCACCCCAAUACAAAAGACAGAUCUUUACUUUUCAAAUUAUUUAUUUUAUAUAAAUAGACACACGACCGAUGAAAUUAUCUCUCCGUCAGAUACUUGAGGUUACUCCAUUACUAAUGACGGACUUUAUUUUCAAAAUGUUACUAUUUUAUAUUAAACUAAAUACUGGGCCGAUGAAGAAAUUUUCGUCGAUUUUCGAGGCCUCCGUAAAUAAAAGACGGAUAUUACGUAUACAAAUACGUAACAAAAAUAAAUAAAUUCGAGCGAUGAUGAAAUCUUUACAAUUUCAUUGCAACACAAAAGGUUUUGUGAUUCGUAUCUUGGCAAGGGGAUUUAGGAUGACCAAUUAAUCGAGCAACCACUUCAUAGCCAUGGCGUAUCUAAAAUUUAAUCCGAGCCCACACUUUGAUAAAACAUUUCUAUUUUUAUGUAUAUAUGCACACAUAGUUUCUAGUUUAUUUUACUUUGUUACUAACAUGUUUGUACAGGGGUUUCGAGAUUGUUUGUCGGAAAAUGACAUUCAGAAGAAGAAUCUUUUAUUUAUAUUAUUUUCUUACAUAUCAAAUAUAGUGAAAACUUUACCUUUUGGGGUGUUGGGCGGGAGUAUUCUUUAUCUACAUAAUACGCGUUUAGGCAAAACUUAGGCCUUUAAUAUUUAGAAAAAAGAAUUAAGUUAAUCAAGUAAUUCACAUAUUAUGUAGUUUUUUCUUCUCAAAUAAAUCUUUACUUUUCUCUGUAACGUUAAUCAAGUAAAAAUAUUAUUUGUAAAUACUUUUCCUUUUCAUGGCACAUCAAAAUACAUUUCUUUUCAUAUGUCACAAAAUACUUUUUUUUUUCACAUGUAAUUUAUACAUUGUUAUACAUAUCUUUUACAUGUUUUUAUAACAAUAGAUUUUAUUUGUAUAUUUAAUAUACAUAUAUUUUUACAUAGUUUUACAUUUGUAUUUUUUUGAAAGAAUUAUUUCAUAUUUAAUACACAUACACUUUUACAUUAUUUUAAAUAUCUAUACCUCCUCCCUCAUUGAUAAGUUUAGUCUAGCUGGGUACCACAUUUAUGGAUCCUGAAGGGUGCCUAACCCUUUUUCUUCCGGAUAACUUGAACCCUUACGUAGAAUCUCAAUUGUUUUUUCGCAGACUAAAUACAUCAAUCAUACGUGUUAAUAAAUAAAAAGGUUUCCUUAUUUUCUUUUAAAAAUUAGGUGGCGACUCUGUACAAAUUUUAAUUCUUUUAGAGUCCAAUAAGUCAUGUUUUGUUUAACCUCGACAAAAACAAGGCAUAACAAUACAUUUUUUCGAUUUUAAAUUUGUCAGAAUAUAUAAUACAUUCAACAAAGACACAUUUUUUCUUUAUAAAUAUACAUAAUUAACUUUCAUUAUAUUUUAUAAAUAUAUCAGCUUUUCGAUACAUUCCAUACAUAAUUAGUUGAAAUUUUUAUAAUUAUCUUCUACUAAUAAAAUUUUGGAUAAAUAUGAUGAAUUAAAGUGUUAUUUACACGGAAAAUUAUUUUUAAAGUUUGAACCAAUUUGCUUUCUCCUUCAGGAGAAAAUAUUUCCUCCGUCCUAUUUUAU